rnacentral:rRNA from 1 species
AGUGACAAGAAAUAACAAUACGGGGCUCAACGCCUUGUAAUUGGAAUGAUGGGAACCUAAACCCCUUCCAGAGUAUCAAUUGGAGGGCAAGUCUGGUGCCAGCAGCCGCGGUAAUUCCAGCUCCAAUAGCGUAUAUUAAAAUUGUUGCAGUUAAAAAGCUCGUAGUUGAAUUUCUGCCGCAUCGCGGCGGCCCUCCCGGGCCCAGCGUUGCGGCUUAUUUCGGACUCGCUUGCGUCUCCGAAUGUUUACUUUGAGAAAAUUAKAGUGCUCAAAGCAGGCCCUUGCCUUGAAUACUUUAGCAUGGAAUAAUAAAGUAGGACUUUGGUUCUAUUUUGUUGGUUUAGCGCCAAAGUAAUGGUUAAUAGGAACAGUUGGGGGCAUUCGUAUUUAACUGUCAGAGGUGAAAUUCUUAGA